rnacentral:rRNA from 1 species
UACGUAGGGUGCAAGCGUUAAUCGGAAUUACUGGGCGUAAAGCGUGCGCAGGCGGUUUUGUAAGACAGGCGUGAAAUCCCCGGGCUUAACCUGGGAAUGGCGCUUGUGACUGCAAAGCUGGAGUGCGGCAGAGGGGGAUGGAAUUUCGCGUGUAGCAGUGAAAUGCGUAGAUAUGCGGAGGAACACCGAUGGCGAAGGCAAUCCCCUGGGCCUGCACUGACGCUCAUGCACGAAAGCGUGGGGAGCAAACAGG